rnacentral:rRNA from 1 species
GAAUCCCGUCCACCGAUUGACUAAGGUUUCCAGAGGAAGGCUCGUCCGCUCUGGGUUAGUCGGGUCCUAAGCUGAGGCCGACAGGCGUAGGCGAUGGAUAACAGGUUGAUAUUCCUGUACCACCUAUAAUCGUUUUAAUCGAUGGGGGGACGCAGUAGGAUAGGCGAAGCGUGCGAUUGGAUUGCACGUCUAAGCAGUAAGGCUGAGUAUUAGGCAAAUCCGGUACUCGUUAAGGCUGAGCUGUGAUGGGGAGAAGACAUUGAGUCUUCGAGUCGUUGAUUUCACACUGCCGAGAAAAGCCUCUAGAUAGAAAAUAGGUGCCCGUACCGCAAACCGACACAGGUAGUCAAGAUGAGAAUUCUAAGGUGAGCGAGCGAACUCUCGUUAAGGAACUCGGCAAAAUGACCCCGUAACUUCGGGAGAAGGGGUGCUCUUUAGGGUUAACGCCCAGAAGAGCCGCAGUGAAUAGGCCCAAGCGACUGUUUAUCAAAAACACAGGUCUCUGCUAAACCGUAAGGUGAUGUAUAGGGGCUGACGCCUGCCCGGUGCUGGAAGGUUAAGAGGAGUGGUUAGCUUCUGCGAAGCUACGAAUCGAAGCCCCAGUAAACGGCGGCCGUAACUAUAACGGUCCUAAGGUAGCGAAAUUCCUUGUCGGGUAAGUUCCGACCCGCACGAAAGGCGUAACGAUUUGGGCACUGUCUCAACGAGAGACUCGGUGAAAUCAUAGUACCUGUGAAGAUGCAGGUUACCCGCGACAGGACGGAAAGACCCCGUGGAGCUUUACUGUAGCCUGAUAUUGAAAUUCGGCACAGCUUGUACAGGAUAGGUAGGAGCCUUUGAAACGUGAGCGCUAGCUUACGUGGAGGCGCUGGUGGGAUACUACCCUAGCUGUGUUGGCUUUCUAACCCGCACCACUUAUCGUGGUGGGAGACAGUGUCAGGCGGGCAGUUUGACUGGGGCGGUCGCCUCCUAAAAGGUAACGGAGGCGCUCAAAGGUUCCCUCAGAAUGGUUGGAAAUCAUUCAUAGAGUGUAAAGGCAUAAGGGAGCUUGACUGCGAGACCUACAAGUCGAGCAGGGUCGAAAGACGGACUUAGUGAUCCGGUGGUUCCGCAUGGAAGGGCCAUCGCUCAACGGAUAAAAGCUACCCCGGGGAUAACAGGCUUAUCUCCCCCAAGAGUUCACAUCGACGGGGAGGUUUGGCACCUCGAUGUCGGCUCAUCGCAUCCUGGGGCUGUAGUCGGUCCCAAGGGUUGGGCUGUUCGCCCAUUAAAGCGGUACGCGAGCUGGGUUCAGAACGUCGUGAGACAGUUCGGUCCCUAUCCGUCGUGGGCGUAGGAAAUUUGAGAGG